AGAGUUUGAUCAUGGCUCAGAUUGAACGCUGGCGGCAUGCUUUACACAUGCAAGUCGAACGGCAGCGCGGGGCAACCUGGCGGCGAGUGGCGAACGGGUGAGUAAUAUAUCGGAACGUACCCAAGAGUGGGGGAUAACGUAGCGAAAGUUACGCUAAUACCGCAUACGAUCCAAGGAUGAAAGCAGGGGAUCUUCGGACCUUGUGCUCCUGGAGCGGCCGAUAUCUGAUUAGCUAGUUGGUGAGGUAAAGGCUCACCAAGGCCACGAUCAGUAGCUGGUCUGAGAGGACGACCAGCCACACUGGAACUGAGACACGGUCCAGACUCCUACGGGAGGCAGCAGUGGGGAAUUUUGGACAAUGGGCGAAAGCCUGAUCCAGCAAUGCCGCGUGAGUGAAGAAGGCCUUCGGGUUGUAAAGCUCUUUUGUCAGGGAAGAAACGGUGAGGGCUAAUAUCCUUCGCUAAUGACGGUACCUGAAGAAUAAGCACCGGCUAACUACGUGCCAGCAGCCGCGGUAAUACGUAGGGUGCAAGCGUUAAUCGGAAUUACUGGGCGUAAAGCGUGCGCAGGCGGUUUUGUAAGUCUGUCGUGAAAGCCCCGGGCUCAACCUGGGAAUUGCGAUGGAGACUGCAAGGCUUGAAUCUGGCAGAGGGGGGUAGAAUUCCACGUGUAGCAGUGAAAUGCGUAGAGAUGUGGUGGAACACCGAUGGCGAAGGCAGCCCCCUGGGUCAAGAUUGACGCUCAUGCACGAAAGCGUGGGGAGCAAGCAGGAUUAGAUACCCUGGUAGUCC
rnacentral:rRNA from 1 species